rnacentral:rRNA from 1 species
AGUGAACGCUGGCGGUAGGCCUAACACAUGCAAGUCGAACGGCAGCACAGUAAGAGCUUGCUCUUACCGGUGGCGAGUGGCGGACGGGUGAGGAAUACAUCGGAAUCUACUUUUUCGUGGGGGAUAACGUAGGGAAACUUACGCUAAUACCGCAUACGACCUACGGGUGAAAGCAGUGGAUCUUCGGACCUUGCGCGAUUGAAUGAGCCGAUGUCGGAUUAGCUAGUUGGCGGGGUAAAGGCCCACCAAGGCGACGAUCCGUAGCUGGUCUGAGAGGAUGAUCAGCCACACUGGAACUGAGGCACGGUCCAGACUCCUACGGGAGGCAGCAGUGGGGAAUAUUGGACAAUGGGCGCAAGCCUGAUCCAGCCAUACCGCGUGGGUGAAGAAGGCCUUCGGGUUGUAAAGCCCUUUUGUUGGGAAAGAAAAGCAGCAGGUUAAUACCCCGCUGUUCUGACGGUACCCAAAGAAUAAGCACCGGCUAACUUCGUG